rnacentral:rRNA from 1 species
GUCUCUUUGUAUUAUUUAUAAAUAAAGAGUCGGGCCUGCUCGGUGAUGAUUUUUAACAGCUGCGGUAUUUUAACUGUACUAAGGUAGCAUAAUAGUUUGCCUUAUAAAUUGAGGCUAGAAUGAAUGGUUUGACGAAGGUUUAUCUGUCUCUAUAUUAUUUAUUAAAAAUUGAUUUUUAAAGUGAAAAAGCUUGAUUUUUUUAAAGGGACGAGAAAACCCUGUGGAGCUUAAAUUUUAUAUUAUUAAUAGGUGAAGUAUUAAUAAGAAAAUUAAUUUUAGUUGGGGUGAUUAAGGAAUAAAAUUAUAAUUUAAUAACUUCCUUAGAGUAUUAAGUUUAUUUGUAAAAAGUAACCAAUAAAUUUAUAUUGCUUUUAUUAUAGUUACCACAGGGAUAACAGCGUAAUUUGCUUAGAGAGUUCUUAUUAAAAAGUGAGUUUGCGACCUCGAUGUUGGAUUAAAAUAACCUUAAGGUGUAGAAGCUUUAGUAGGUAAAUCUGGUCGAUUUUUAAAAUUU